rnacentral:lncRNA from 1 species
GGUCUUGUCUAGUGCGCCAUGUUGUGCGCCAGUUGUGCAGACCUUUGAAUGAUCUUGAAUGGCAGAGAUGCUACUACUGUACUUUGUUCAAGACCGAGACUCUCUGCCGCUUUGCGUGUUGACAGCCCAAAGUUGAUCAUGUUCUGAUGAGCUUCAUGGUCGCUCACCAUCGUCGGCGCCGCUCACAGCUAUGAUGCUCUUCACGAGAACACCCAUGCGACAGCCGACUCGAAAGGUGUUUCUGGCAAUUCCAUCCUCAACGUAGUGCAGCAGUUGCUCAAGUGUGACUUAUUGACAUCUCGGGUGCGAGCUGCUGUUGUGUUGCCACUGGGCUCAUGGGUAUGUGCGGUUAAGCCUGCGUUCAGACUACUUAACCACUGAGUAUGCAAGAACUGUUUACCAGUCACCCAGAAAGGACAUACACCAUUGAGUAGGUGCCUGAACAGUCAAGCUAGAAAAGAGGCUAGAAAAGAGGCAAGAAGUGAAGCCAACAUUGGAAUAUUAAUGAAGAAGUUGGCAACAGAAGUAGCCAAAUAUGGACGAAUAAGCAAAGGGUAAAAAAUGUGACUAGCAUGUCUCUGAGCGACAACUAUUGAACUACAGAAGUGAGCAAUGCAACAAAGGCUGCCAUGUAUGUGAAAAGAAUUGGGGAGCAAGAAAUAGACAAUGACAGUUCUGCAUUGAGCAAGAAUUGCCUUACGUACAAGUGCAAAAGUAAAGUAGUAAUGAAGACACUGUAAUUGCGAAGAAGUUAGUAAUGAUAAUAGCAAUAAUAAUUAUAAAACAAAAAUAAACUGAAGAUAACACAAGGAUUAUGUGCCCAAGUGAUGUGUUGACUGUGUUACAUAAGACUAAGCUUUAGUUUCUCAAGCACUGCACUUGUUGAUGAGUGAGAUAGCUCUCGCUGAUAUGCCCUGUCAUUUUUCGCUAAAUUAAAUUAUGUAUAUGCUAUAGAGAGCUCUUAGAUCGACUAUUUCUGACAGCAGUCACAAGUUUCUGGUAGUUCUUGUUCUA